AUGGACAUUUUCAUAUAUGGUCACCUCACUUUUUUGAUAUUUCUGCUUUGGAUCAAAGGUCUAACUGAUGCCAAGGAUGUCAAACAAACUCCCAUGCUGUGGGAACAACAGGGUAAUAAUGCAACAAUGGACUGCAGCCAUACCAAGGAUGCUAACCAUUUCCAGAUGUACUGGUACAGACAGCUGCCAGGAGAAAAUAUGGAACUGAUUGUGUUCACAACAACAGCCAAAAAAUACGAUCACGACUUUGGAAAAUUCAGCAAAGAGAAAUACUCAGCCACAAAGACUGAGGUUCAUGAUGGGACAUUUACAGUGAAGAACCUGGAGCCAAAGGACAGCGGCUGGUAUUUCUGUGCCGGGGACCUCAAGUACAACUACACAUCAGAGGAUCAUAUGAAGGUCUUCAACUUCCCAACUACCAUCUCACACACACUAACAGAGACUCUGGUCUCUUAA